rnacentral:lncRNA from 1 species
CAGACUCAGCCUGUGCCCCUAGCUUCCUGACAGACACAGUCUGCUCCUCCGGGGCUGGGAGGGGCUCAGUGACAGGUGUCCUUCUUUCUGGGAAAUGAUUAGCACCCCAGGGAAGCACUGUGCUGGCUCUGAGCAUCUCAUUAACAGCAUGACUGUGCGCUUCCGGUGCUGAGCUGGGCCCUGCGGUGGCUGCGGAUGGGCAGGGCAUUGAGGGCCACAGCUCCUGGCCACCGCGCCUCCCGGAUGUGCAAAUGCCUGCAUCCAGGUGGCUCCCAGAAACCCGGCCUCCUAACCAAAAGAAAAUUUCCUGGGCAGAGACCGGAUCCUUCCUACUAGAAAAAUGGUUUCCCCUUGCUCUGUGCCUCUGAUACAGACACACACACACUCUGCCGGCAGCUCCUCCGUCCUGGCUCGGAGGCGCCCGCCUCUCUUCACUCCCAUCCUGAGGCCUGUCACUGGCAAACCGGCGGGGCGCGUGGCUGUCUGGGGCGAUCACGUCAGCUCUCCUCUCCGAUCCUGUGAUUACCACCAGCAGUGCUGACAUGAAGUACUCAGCUAUGCUCUUCUAGCCUAAAUGCUGUGCUCAAACUGGAAGAAUCAGCCUCCCGGGCGAGGUAUCACCCUGUCCUACUUUGAAAAGGACACAGUGCAGGGAUGAAGAACAGAGGCUUUUGCUGCUGAGAGAUCAUAUUUUAAACAAGACGUAAGUGGAGUCUUCAUAACCAGUCUGAUAAAUUCUCUUAGGGUAGUCAUGGGUCUGCCUCUCUGGCCACUGCCAUGUUAUGUAUCCUGAGCCGCAGUGGCUCACAGCUGUGCAGAAGGUAUCUGCUCUAUUGAGUCCAAUAGUUUCAAGCUGCUGAUUCUCAGAGCAGUAAUCCAUCCCAGCAUUGGUCCGAAGAACCCUGUGGACUGAGAAUUCACUAACCUUCACAGACUGGCUCAGCACUAGCACCUCUACUUCUCUACAGGUGAUCUCUAAUAGCCUUGCAAGCAGUGGUCCAGACAUCAAGAACUAAAAAAACACCUUUAAAAGCCAAUGCUUACUACAAACUCUAAAAGAUUUUUCUCUCCUGCUAAACAAGCUGGCCCCUUAGAGAGAAGUUACUUCUUUUAACUAAAUAUGUGUCCUUGACGUAAUAAGAAUGAGGACUUUUCCUCAGUAUAACUGAAAUAGAAAAGUCAAUAGCAGGAAAAGAAAGACUGUAAGAAUAUAAGGAAGACCCUCAUGGAAGAUGAGAGAAUGGAAGCCAACAAAUCAACAAAUCAGAAAUCUUUACAAGGAUACCAAAGCUAGUAAACACUGAUUCUGUUUAUUCCAGGCAUACAAAAGAAAUGGAAGAUUCAUCCUUUUCAGGUUGGUUGGAGCCGUACCACUGAUAAACAACACUUAAUACAGCAAGAGUAUUACCAUUGCAAUAACAGAAUGAUCAAAUGUAACAAUACCAACUAAUAUUCAAAUGAUACUAAUGAUACUAAUGUUCAAAGUAUAAUGAUACAUCAAGUAUAUUUAAUGGAGAGAAAUACCUCAAUAUGCCAUAACCCAGUAGGUAUCCGGAUUUUCCUUUUGCUAUUGUAACAGCCUAUUUUAUAUCCAUAAUUAAUCUUUCAUGAUUAUUUUUAAAAGGUAAAAAUGUGUAGAGUUCUUUGAACGUAUAAUUUAGUGUUUAUUUUUCAAAACUAACCCAUGCUAUAUUUUGAAAAGCAACAAUUUCUUCCCUUGAGUUAUGUAUUUAUUUUAUCAAGAGUCUGUUAGGCAAAUUUCAACAAAUAAUAAAACCCUAACAGCAGCACUAUAAUUUCUGUAGGAAGUUUAGACAGCAAUUUCCAAUGAGCAAUCAAGCUUGUCAUAAUAAGCAUCUCAAGGAAUCUCGCCUAAUGACAAAGUCCAAAGGCCAGUAGCUGGGUGUGGGCUGUUGUAUUUUAUACAUACUCAGAUACAGAAAGUGUCAGUCACUUUACAAGGAAUGCACAAAUAAAUGUAGCUGAAUCAGAAGUAAACAUCUUAUUGAGCCCUCACAUCCAACCAUUAGCAGUAAUACUUUCUCUGGGAAGUUUUCAAGGCAGUUUUUGAACAACUUUGUAAAAAGUGACCAUUUUAAGAAACAAUUCUCUUUAUGUUAUGCCAUUCUUUCCCUUUACUUUUCAUGGCUAAUUUUAAUCCAAAUAUAAACCUGAAAAUUGCUUAGGUAGUUUUCAGCUUAGUAAUGCAGCCAGUUAAUAUAGUAUUUAUUUCCGUGGGAGUCCAGCAUGCAUGUUAAGAUGUGACAGACAGAUUAGUCAAAAGAAUAUGUAUUUGCCAUUUGCAGUCUCCCAGGAACUGUUUCUUGGGACUGAAUGGAAGGAUCUAAGAGCCCAUAAGAAUUCACUGAUUUUCAUGGCAUGACUGAUUCAUAUUCUGCUACCUGAAGGAACACAGUGAGAUAAUGUUUAUUUUCAGAAAACUUUCUAAAUUUCUCUUGCUGUUUGGUAGCCCAAAUACAAAUCAGUUGGGAACUGGAAGUAAGUAGAGCCACUGUUGCCCUGUGGUUGUCUAAAACGUUGAAUUCUGCCAGUCUGAAGUGAGACCUAAAUAGCUUAGGAAAGGAGAAUUUAAUCUGGCUAGAGAAGGGGAAUGGAGUAUAAAUAAAUUUUAAAGGUUGAUCAUGUAUGCAUGCUACAGCAAACACUGUCACUUGACAGACUGAAUUUAUAGAGUUGGCAUUUAGGCUGCAAAUAAUCUAGACAGUGACCUAAGCAGCAUUUGUGGGCAAGCCUAACAUAAGGAGAACUGUUCUUGAACAAUUUCCUGUGAACAUAACAACUAGUGAACAAAAGCUAUAAGAGCCGUGCUUUUCCCUACCCUAACACAACUGCUUUUCAACUGGGCCACGUUCAGCCAACAGGGAACAUAAGAAAUGUGCAGAAGCUUUGACUUUCUAUUUAAAGGCGGCUGUCACAUAUUUCUUGGAUCUUCAGACAUUAGUGCACAUAGCACAUAGUCAAACAAUGUCCACUUGGGUAUUAUAAAGUUGCUUCAGCACUAAAAUCCCUUUAGGGUGCCCCAUGCCUAGUUUUCCUAAGUUGCAUUUGCAGCCCCCCUAGUUUCACAAUCCCAGAGUGCACUGGGGUUUUGUCCUAGGGCCUCUUGGCUUCACUCUCUUCACA